rnacentral:rRNA from 1 species
AGAACGAACGCUGGCGGCAUGCCUAACACAUGCAAGUCGAACGAGACCUUCGGGUCUAGUGGCGCACGGGUGCGUAACGCGUGGGAAUCUGCCCUUGGGUUCGGGAUAACAGUUGGAAACGACUGCUAAUACCGGAUGAUGUCUUCGGACCAAAGAUUUAUCGCCCAGGGAUGAGCCCGCGUAGGAUUAGCUUGUUGGUGAGGUAAGAGCUCACCAAGGCGACGAUCCUUAGCUGGUCUGAGAGGAUGAUCAGCCACACUGGGACUGAGACACGGCCCAGACUCCUACGGGAGGCAGCAGUGGGGAAUAUUGGACAUGGGCGAAAGCCUGAUCCAGCAAUGACCGCGUUGAAGUGAU